rnacentral:lncRNA from 1 species
GCGGAUAGAAGCUCCUGCAGAAGUUUGGCGGUGAAUAGGGCGACAAGGAGAGAAAAUAACCGAGAUUGGGAAGUGCAGGGAGGCUCACCACCUCCAACCGAAACGCGGCACACGAUUUUCGGUGCUCGGGACGUAGCAGGGGACAGAAGCCACGGCGGCGGAUCCUUUUUCUCCGACGAGAUCCGAAAUCGCGACAAGGGCCGCAAUCCGAGCUCUUGAGCCUUGCAGGUAGGGAAGAGGGGAUGCGGAGAAGAUCUCGGGGCUUUAUAGGGUGUCUGAAGCGCAAAAUUCGGCAACAAAUCCCGGCCGAGUUGGGAUUGGCACGCUCGGUGGUCCUCAGGCGGAGUCCGGCUCGGUUACGCGAGGGAGAAGAAAGCCGGGGUCACUGCCACGCGGGCCCCGGUGUCAGCGACAGAAGAGAGAAAGGGGAGGGAAAGGCGCGCGGCUGGGCCAACUACUGGGCCGCGGUGCUGCAGAGCUGCUGCUGGAGCUUGGGCCAAACGCGGGGUCUGGGCAGGCUUCCUGCUGCGUAUCGGGCCGAGAGGAAGGGGAGGAGGGAACGUACUGGGCCUCGGCCACAGGUCUAGGCCAAGAGCAGGUAAGUUCUCUUUUCUUCUUUUUUUUCUUUUUCUUUUAAUCAAAAGCCUACUUCAAAUCCAUUUAAAAAUCUGUUUGAACCAUUUUCAAACUUUGGUCAAAAUCACUCAUCUCAGAAAUAAAAUGCACCAGCAUGUUUCACACACAAUUGUUGCUAAGACUUAUGAUAAAUUUUAUUUUAAAGAAAAAUAUUAUUCUUUCUAUAUUUUCAUGAGCACAAAAACAAUAAAUUAAAUUGUUUUUCACCUAUUUCGAAAUGAGCAAAAUUUUGGGUGUUACAAAUCUACCCCCCUUAAAAUGAAUCUCGUUCUCGAGAUUCGGAUGAGACGCGGAUUCCAAAUGAGAAACAAGAACAAGAUCUUGAUAUCUACUUCAACUUCACAACUUGUAUUCCAAAAGCAAACACUCAUGUCUCGGGAUCACAACUUGUGAACAAAACUUCCAUAAAAUGUCUAUUAUUCGUAAUUGCUCACUGUCCAUCUUGACUACCAACUUUUCAACUUAUACAACUCGAAGACAUGAUACCUCGGCAUGGAUAUGCCUCCUCAGGUAGGAGUGGACCACCUUGAUACUCAAUUCUUUUCCCUGAUGGUGCAGUUAAGAAUAUUUUCCACUGGGUAGCAUAGAUCACUGCCUUGUGUGCACAUAACCAUCCAUUGCCAAGAACCAAAGGAAUAUUGAGUGACUCUAGCACAAUGAGGUUUACAGUGAAGUUUUCCUUCUUUAUGACAAGAUUGAUAUUUGAGCAAACCUGAUCUACCUGUAUUUCUCCCAUUGGGGUUUGAACUAACAAUGGCUUUCUCGUCGGACACUUCACCCGUUCGAUUGUCUUUACCAAGUCGGCGGAUAUGAAAGAAUGCGAAGCACUUCGGUCAAACAGAGCAAAAACUAGUACUGAGUCCACUUGAAUAUAGCCUCCCACCACUUUGGUGGCUCCUUGAAUGUUAUGCCUAUCCACAUUGUUCAGUCUUCCAUUGAUAUAAUUUUGCUGCACUUUAUUUCCAGGAGCAUGCCUCUUACGAGCUUUCCUUUUACGCUUCCGUCGUUGUGGAUUUUGAUUUGAUUCAUUAUCAACUUGCUCUUCAAUAUUAUUAUUUUGAUAACACUCAGCUUUGUCAUACUCAUAGCAUCUUUCUUCAAAGGCAAAAUGAUCAUAUUCUUCCCACCUAUCCAUGAGAGGCGUCAUAUUAUGCUCCGAAUCCAUGGGACACUACACUCCCUGUCAUCAAGUGACCAACGUCAGUAACACGGCAAGGAUAGAUGAUCAUAACCAUAGAAUAUCUCAGAAGACAAUUAUCACUUCAAAAUGCAUCAUCCUGAUAUCAGGGUACUACCCCCCUUAAAAUUAGAUUGAUUGGGGAGACAUUAGGGACUAGUCCUCAUAACCUUUUUAAAUGCUGCACAUCAUAUAGUCUUUAAAAUUCGUUGUACCGAGUCUCUUGAUCCAUCCAACAUUAUGCAAUUCUUCUCCAUGUAACCCCUUUAUUUGGGCUACCCCACUUAAGAAAGGUCAACCAGGGGACACAAGAAAGGUAGCUAGCAUGUUUUCCAGACAAGUUAACUAACAUUGAGAACUUAUGACAUCCCAAAGAGCUUCUGUGCAAGAGAACAAGCAUGUAUCCUGAAAUUUUCCCACGAUAUGAAAACACCAGCAUAGAAAAACAGGUAUAAAUCUCAUUCUGUUAAUCCAAUAGAGUUGUAGCUUAUACCAUUAGAAAGAUUAUGAAAUUCCCUACAACUUUCAUGUAGAAGACCUCCUUAGAUUCUGUCUUUAAGCUUAGGUAAAACAACCAAACAUAAUAUCCUUCCUGAUAAUGUCUCAGCAAAGGUGCAGUAACUUCCAGAAAUUAUAUCUCGAGCUACUUAACUCAUCUAGAGAUGAUCCUUAUAUUGUUGGAAAGCUUAUGAAAUCCUCUACAUCUUUCGUAUACAACGCUUUCCCAGAUUUUGUCUUUAACUUGGCUGAAAAUAGAAAAUGCCAGAUCUGUCCAGAUCUUGAAACAGAACAGAAACAUCCAACUGUAAAUAUCAUAUCUCAGGUUCUACUUAUCCAAAUGACUUCCAGCUUAUACUGUUGGAAAGCUUAGAAAAUUGUCUUCAACUUUUCUAUAGAGAACUUUUCCAAAUUCCAUAGCUAUGUUUGUCUCAAACAGUAAGCAACCAAAACUGAUCCAGAUUCUUGGCAGCACAGUUGUAUCAUCUUGUGAUUUUUUUAACUUCUAAACCAUAAUAGCUAUGAGGGUGAUUCUUGUGGUCAGAGAAAGAUCUUGGAGUCUAUUUGUUCCCAGAAAAAUUUGAGAAACUUUGCACGAUCGAACCUUUAGAUACACCAGAAUUAUUGCAGACUGCUCUAGAAAACAGCAAGGGAUAGAAACAGGAUAUAACCAAACCCAACUACUUAUGUCAUUACUCCUUAUGCCUUAGGCCUAUAAACUAAAUGAUGUUGUGGAGAAACCUCACAAGAUCAUUGCACUCAUUACAAAGAUCCAAAUCAAGCAUAAGCAUAAUAACAAACCAAUUAAGCACACUUCACUCAAUUUGCGAUACUAUCGUUCGCUUCAUAGCAAGGGUAGAUAUCUUAAAACACCUAUUCCAACGAUGCAAGAAGGUGGUAAGAAAAAGUUCUAAAAGCAUAUCAAGCAAGGAGUGGGGAUGAGAAUAAGUACUUUUAAAAUAAGCAUCAAGGUGAAGAUGAAUAGCAAUGAAAAGGAUAUAGUAUGGAGAAAAAUAUCAAGGUUUAUAGAGCAAGGAUUUUAUGACAAUUCCAAAACCUUAAGACGACAAAUUUCUAACUAGGCUUGCGUCCUACAGUCAGCAUUGCUCUGAUACCACUUUGUAAUACCCGAUUUUAAGGACAAAACCAGAUAUACACUAUAUAUGAGUUUUAGUAGUCAAAUCUCACAUAUAGCUACAAAUAAGGGGUAAUAUCAAAAGACAAUGCAUAAAUUAUAUAACGUACAUAGUAUAAGAGAGAUAACCUUUAGUAUCAAACAGCGGAUACACAACUCCAACUUCGGGUAUUAACUUCACUCUACAGGAUCCAACUGACUGGUUGAUCACAAGCCUAAACUUCUCCUGAGGUUUGAGAGAAAUAGCAAGAGUGAGUCCAUGUCGAACUCCACAAGUAUAGCAACUAGAUUGUAUAGCUCCCACAAUCUCAUGAUCAAUGUGACAUAAAUAAUGUAAAGCAUUAAACAAUAAACAAUGAGCAUAUUUAACAUAUAAGAAUCAUCACCCUUAAUGUAGAUGUCCCCAAGGCCGCUCCUGACCGUGAGCUCGGCUAGUAUACUAGUUUUUAACCCUCUGCAGAGGUUGUACAUCUUUACCCAUGAGUCAUGAUUUACCCUUUCGCCCGAGGUAGCUAAUCUCUUAACCCCCUUCCUAGGGAGGUCGGCAGGGAUCACUAUGAAGUCUUUCAAAGGUUCGUCUAAUAAGUUAGGGCCGCUUGGUUUCAUUAGUCAGUCCAUGUGAUUCACCCGCAGGAAUCCACGGUCUGCUAUUCCCCAAUUGCGCCACAACGGGUAACCGCUAACGAGCUAGAAAAGUUACUCAUACUUAACUAAAGCCAGAGCCAUUAUAGCCCUCAUGGUUGCACUGUUGUCCCAGGUGAUCACGUACAGACAAAUCAUCAAGUUGCUAAGAAGUCAUUUUUAUCGUUUAUUACUUAACAUUAAUCUAGUCACACGAUCAUGGUCACAGAAAUAAAAUCGAAAUGCUAUACUUGCCUUGAUCCAAAUGCUCUUGCUGAUUCUGCUGAUCUUGAUCACCGAAGUACUCUUGUGCACCACGAAUUAUUCACCGUCUAAACUCGAUCAUCGAUCACACAAACAAUCGGAGAAAACAUACACGAAGCAAACAAGGCUACAAUUAGAACAGUACACCAAUCAUAUGAAAACAGUAUGAAAAGUUUAUAAAAUGAUUCUACGCAUCGCUACGAUCUCACAGACGUAAAGAUCACGAAAAUCGGAGCUAAAACGGAGGAGAUAUGAAUUUUCUAAGAUUUUAUAUAGAAAAACAAUUAAUUAAAUAGUACCACGAAUUUAAAAAGUUUCAAAACAGUGAGAUAAUAUUUUUAACAUGUAAAGCUCGUAAAUACGAACCUAACGCAAUUUGAAUGGACCAAAUCGGAUUUAAAAUGAGCAUGUUAUAAGCAAUUUAAAUCUGGUGGCAAAACUGUAAAUACUGAAAACGUAUUUUGAUUCAAUCCGGGAGCAUUUACGUUUUCUACACAGCAAAGCGUAUUGUGGAAAGGCGCCAGGGACAGCGGGUUCCAAUCCCCAAAACUCCAAGGACUCUUUAGCAAGAGUGCCAGGCGAAGGGGUAUGUCAGGUUCUCGGCCGUUGAUCUUGAAUCGAACGGUCUGGAUUAGAAACUGGGGAGGGAGAGAGGGGUGUCCCGGCCGGAACAGUACCAACACGGCGGCGCCAUGGCUGGGGCUCGCCGGAGCUUUGCCAGAAAGCGAUUCGGGCCUCGGUUUUCGACGAGAUUAGCACAGGGAGAUAGAGAAGCUUCGUGCGAACUUACCUAGGGCAAAACGCGAAGGUGAGGAGGGCUCGGAGAUGACUGGCCACGUGACCGGCGGAUAGAAGCUCCUGCAGAAGUUUGGCGGUGAAUAGGGCGACAAGGAGAGAAAAUAACCGAGAUUGGGAAGUGCAGGGAGGCUCACCACCUCCAACCGAAACGCGGCACACGAUUUUCGGUGCUCGGGACGUAGCAGGGGACAGAAGCCACGGCGGCGGAUCCUUUUUCUCCGACGAGAUCCGAAAUCGCGACAAGGGCCGCAAUCCGAGCUCUUGAGCCUUGCAGGUAGGGAAGAGGGGAUGCGGAGAAGAUCUCGGGGCUUUAUAGGGUGUCUGAAGCGCAAAAUUCGGCAACAAAUCCCGGCCGAGUUGGGAUUGGCACGCUCGGUGGUCCUCAGGCGGAGUCCGGCUCGGUUACGCGAGGGAGAAGAAAGCCGGGGUCACUGCCACGCGGGCCCCGGUGUCAGCGACAGAAGAGAGAAAGGGGAGGGAAAGGCGCGCGGCUGGGCCAACUACUGGGCCGCGGUGCUGCAGAGCUGCUGCUGGAGCUUGGGCCAAACGCGGGGUCUGGGCAGGCUUCCUGCUGCGUAUCGGGCCGAGAGGAAGGGGAGGAGGGAACGUACUGGGCCUCGGCCACAGGUCUAGGCCAAGAGCAGGUAAGUUCUCUUUUCUUCUUUUUUUUCUUUUUCUUUUAAUCAAAAGCCUACUUCAAAUCCAUUUAAAAAUCUGUUUGAACCAUUUUCAAACUUUGGUCAAAAUCACUCAUCUCAGAAAUAAAAUGCACCAGCAUGUUUCACACACAAUUGUUGCUAAGACUUAUGAUAAAUUUUAUUUUAAAGAAAAAUAUUAUUCUUUCUAUAUUUUCAUGAGCACAAAAACAAUAAAUUAAAUUGUUUUUCACCUAUUUCGAAAUGAGCAAAAUUUUGGGUGUUACAUAG